AGAGUUUGAUCAUGGCUCAGGAUGAACGCUGGCGGUGUGCCUAAUACAUGCAAGUCGAGCGGUAAGGUUCUCACAGUUUGCUUAAACGGAGACAGGUCGCGGAAAUUUCGAAGAAAUUUUCGCAUCUAAAACGAAGUGAUGAACUUCGUGCUUGCCACCUACCUACAUCAUAAGUAGAGAGAGGGAAAGUUUAAGCGAAGUGUGAGAAUACACGAGCGGCGGACGGCAGAGUAACACGUAGGAACGUACCCCAAACAGAGGGAUAAGCACCGGAAACGGUGUCUAAUACCGCAUAAUAUCUUCGGAUUAAAGCUUCGGCGGUUUGGGAGCGGCCUGCGCAUGAUUAGCUAGUUGGUAAGGUAAUGGCUUACCAAGGCGACGAUCAUUAGCUGGUCUGAGAGGAUGAUCAGCCUGACUGGAACUGAGAACGGUCCAGACUCCUACGGGAGGCAGCAGUAGGGAAUUUUCCGCAAUGGGCGAAAGCCUGACGGAGCAACACCGCGUGCAGGAGGAAGGCCUUCGGGUUGUAAACUGCUUUUAUCUGUGACGAUUAUGACGGUAGCAGAAGAAUAAGGAUCGGCUAAUUCCGUGCCAGCAGCCGCGGUCAUACGGAAGAUCCGAGCGUUAUCCGGAAUUACUGGGCGUAAAGAGUUGCGUAGGUGGCAUGUAAAGCGAGUAGUGAAAGAUCCCGGCUCAACCGGGGGCACACUAUUCGAACUCACAAGCUAGAGCAUGAGAGAGGUAGAUGGAAUUUCUAGUGUAGGAGUGAAAUCCGUAGAUAUUAGAAGGAACACCGAUGGCGUAGGCAGUCUACUGGCUCAUUGCUGACACUAAGGCACGAAAGCGUGGGGAGCGAACGGGAUUAGAUACCCUAGUAGUCC
rnacentral:rRNA from 1 species